rnacentral:rRNA from 1 species
AACGAACGCUGGCGGCAUGCCUAACACAUGCAAGUCGAACGAGACCUUCGGGUCUAGUGGCGCACGGGUGCGUAACGCGUGGGAACCUGCCCUUAGGUUCGGAAUAACUCCCCGAAAGGGGUUCUAAUACCGGAUAAUGUCUUCGGACCAAAGAUUUAUCGCCUUUGGAUGGGCCCGCGUUGGAUUAGCUAGUUGGUAGGGUAAAAGCCUACCAAGGCGACGAUCCAUAGCUGGUCUGAGAGGAUGAUCAGCCACACUGGGACUGAGACACGGCCCAGACUCCUACGGGAGGAAGCAGUGGGGAAUAUUGGACAAUGGGCGAAAGCCUGAUCCAGCAAUGCCGCGUGAGUGAUGAAGGCCUUAGGGUUGUAAAGCUCUUUUACCCGGGAUGAUAAUGACAGUACCGGGAGAAUAAGCUCCGGCUAACUCCGUG